AACGCUGGCGGCGUGCCUAAUACAUGCAAGUCGAGCGGAUUGAUGGGAGCUUGCUCCCUGAUAUUAGCGGCGGACGGGUGAGUAACACGUGGGUAACCUGCCUGUAAGAUUGGGAUAACUCCGGGAAACCGGAGCUAAUACCGGAUAACAUGUUGAACCGCAUGGUUCAACAUUGAAAGAUGGCUUUUGCUAUCACUUACAGAUGGACCCGCGGCGCAUUAGCUAGUUGGUGAGGUAACGGCUCACCAAGGCGACGAUGCGUAGCCGACCUGAGAGGGUGAUCGGCCACACUGGGACUGAGACACGGCCCAGACUCCUACGGGAGGCAGCAGUAGGGAAUCUUCCGCAAUGGACGAAAGUCUGACGGAGCAACGCCGCGUGAACGAUGAAGGCCUUCGGGUCGUAAAGUUCUGUUGUUAGGGAAGAACAAGUACCAGAGUAACUGCUGGUACCUUGACGGUACCUAACCAGAAAGCCACGGCUAACUACGUGCCAGCAGCCGCGGUAAUACGUAGGUGGCAAGCGUUGUCCGGAAUUAUUGGGCGUAAAG
rnacentral:rRNA from 1 species